rnacentral:rRNA from 1 species
ANCAUGCAAGUCGAACGGUGAACACGGAGCUUGCUCUGUGGGAUCAGUGGCGAACGGGUGAGUAACACGUGAGCAACCUGCCCCUGACUCUGGGAUAAGCGCUGGAAACGGCGUCUAAUACUGGAUACGAGUAGCGGCCGCAUGGUCAGUUACUGGAAAGAUUUUUUGGUUGGGGAUGGGCUCGCGGCCUAUCAGCUUGUUGGUGAGGUAAUGGCUCACCAAGGCGUCGACGGGUAGCCGGCCUGAGAGGGUGACCGGCCACACUGGGACUGAGACACGGCCCAGACUCCUACGGGAGGCAGCAGUGGGGAAUAUUGCACAAUGGGCGGAAGCCUGAUGCAGCAACGCCGCGUGAGGGAUGACGGCCUUCGGGUUGUAAACCUCUUUUAGCAGGGAAGAAGCGAAAGUGACGGUACCUGCAGAAAAAGCGCCGGCUAACUACGUGCCAGCAGCCGCGGUAAUACGUAGGGCGCAAGCGUUAUCCGGAAUUAUUGGGCGUAAAGAGCUCGUAGGCGGUUUGUCGCGUCUGCUGUGAAAUCCCGAGGCUCAACCUCGGGCCUGCAGUGGGUACGGGCAGACUAGAGUGCGGUAGGGGAGAUUGGAAUUCCUGGUGUAGCGGUGGAAUGCGCAGAUAUCAGGAGGAACACCGAUGGCGAAGGCAGAUCUCUGGGCCGUAACUGACGCUGAGGAGCGAAAGGGUGGGGAGCAAACAGGCUUAGAUACCCUGGUAGUCCACCCCGUAAACGUUGGGAACUAGUUGUGGGGUCCAUUCCACGGAUUCCGUGACGCAGCUAACGCAUUAAGUUCCCCGCCUGGGGAGUACGGCCGCAAGGCUAAAACUCAAAGGGAUUGACGGGGACCCGCACAAGCGGCGGAGCAUGCGGAUUAUUUCGAUGCAACGCGAGAACCUUUACCAAGGCUUGACAUAUACGAGAACGGGCCAGAAAUGGUCAACUCUUUGGACACUCGUAAACAGGUGGUGCAUGGUUGNCGUCAGCUCGUGUCGUGAGAUGUGGNUAAGUUCCCGCACGAGCGCACNUCGUCUAUGUUGCAGCNGUAUGGNGGACUCAUGGNNNCUUGCNNGGNCACUCGGAGAAGNGGGGAUGACUGUNANUCAUCAUGUCCNNUGUCCUUGGGNNCACGCAUGCUACANGNNGNUCNNNGCUGCAUACGCAG